rnacentral:rRNA from 1 species
GCUGAAUUUUCAAAAGAAAAGAAAAAAGAGGACAACAAAACUGAGCUGGCAAAAAUGUCCGCGGAUCCGCGUGACCCAGCCGAGCCCUACGGCCCGCCCGACCCAACCUCCGACACCCGCCGCCGGGAACGCGCAUGCGCAUCCGCCGCCCGUUCUCCGCUGACCGCGCCCACCUUCCCCGCCGGCCGAGUCAACCCAAUCGCCCAACACGAAACCAUCCCAAUUCCCCUCCAUUUCCGCCCAAAAUACUCCGGCAACAGCAAGGCUCACCAGAAUGCGGCCUCUCCUCAGCGCCGCCGCCGUCCUCCUCCUCCUCCUCCUCCCCCUCGCCGCCGGCCAGCGAUUCCGCGGCUUCUCCUACCUCCUCGACUGCGGCGCCGCGGCCCCCUCCACCGACAGCCGCGGCCUCCGCUGGGACCCCGACGGCCCCUACGUCUCCGCCGGCUCCGCCCGUCCGCUCUCGGUCCAGGGCCUCCUCGACCCCACCCUCGCCUCCCUCCGCGUCUUCCCGUAUCGCCCCGCCGCCAAGUUCUGCUACGCGCUCCCCGUCGACCCCAAUCGCCGCUACCUCCUCCGCCCGACCUUCUUCUACGGCCCCUCCUCGACGGCCCCGCCCGUGUUCGACCUCAUCGUCGACGGCACCUUCUGGACCGCCGUCGACACCGCCGAUGACAUCCUGGCCGGCAGCGCCUCGCACUACGAGGCCGUGUUCCCGGCCAGGGGCAGGAACUUGACCUUCUGCCUCGGCGUCAACCCCGACUACACCGACUCCGGCCCGUUCAUCAACGCGCUGCAGGUCAUCCAGCUCCAUGAUUCGGUGUACAACGCCACGGAUUUCACGGGCAGCGCCAUGGGCCUCAUUGCGCGCACCAAGUUUGGCUCCACUGGCGACGUCGAGAGGUACCCUGAUGACAGUUUUGACCGCUAUUGGCAGCCAUUUCCAGACAGCAAACAUGCAGUCAGUAGUACCCACAACGUUACAUCAGCCGAUUUCUGGAAUCUUCCUCCUCCUGAUGUAUUUAAUACAGCUUUGGUAGCAGAACAAAAUGCACCAUUGGUGUUGCAAUGGCCUCCAAUAUCUCUUCAGAAUGGCAGCUAUUAUGUUUCCCUUUAUUUUGCUGAUACAUUGGCUAAUAGUUCGAGGACCUUGGAUGUGAAUAUUAAUGAUUACCAGUUUUACGAAGGGACAGUAACAUCAGCUGGUCUUUCUGUCUUUGCAACUCAAUGGAUUCUCUCAGGCCUAACCAGAGUUAUAUUGACUUCUAAGUCUGUUCUUCCACCACUUAUCAAUGCUGGCGAAGUCUUUGGAAUUUUUCCCAUUGGAAGACUGACAAUUACACGUGAUGCGCUUGCUAUGGAGAGUAUGAAGAGAAGCCUCCAAAACAUACCUGAUGAUUGGAUUGGAGAUCCAUGUAUGCCUCAUGGAUAUGCUUGGACUGGAGUUACAUGUCAAGAAGGACAAAAUGAAAAUAUACGUGUCAUUUCAUUGAACUUUUCAAGUAUGGGUAUCUCCGGAUCUCUGUCACCUGACAUUGCAAACCUGACUGCUCUUACUGAUAUGUAAAUUCUAUUUAUAAUCGAUCAAAGUGAAUGAAAUAUAAGCUAGCAAAAUGACACUAUUACCAUUGGCAGAUCUUUUGCAAACAAUAGCUUGUCUGGAACUAUUCCUGAUCUCAUCAAUCUGGGUAAACUCCAACGACUGUACCUGAAUGAUAACAAGUUGAAUGGAAAAAUAGCUCAGACGUUGGGGACAAUUCAGCCCUUGCGUGAACUAUUCUUGCAAGGCAAUGAGCUGGGUGGAGCAGUUCCACAGAACUUGCUGAACAAAACGGGGUUGACUAGCAAAUUUUGUCCGGGCAAUCAGUUCACACAACCACCGUGCUGACAAUCGAACAUCUUAUUGAAGACAGUAGGAUGGUGUGUUUGUUCUUUUAGGAUGGCUAGAGCAAGAUUUUGUAACCAGUCAAAUGUAUGUACAGUAAAAUGAUUGGAAUCCAGUGAGACGAGUUGGCGGAAGCAGGUGAAGAUAAAGAAUCCUGAUUGUACAGUGCCAAUUCUGUAGUUUACAUUGUCAGUGUGUAAUGCAAGGAGAAAAUGAAACACUGUUAAAUUCUCUCAACUUGCUUUGGACUGCGUUCCAACGAAACAUUACAACCCUGAACUGAAUCAGAUUCCUUUUUUUAGAUGAACUGAAUCAGAUUCCUUGCAU